rnacentral:rRNA from 1 species
GACGAACGCUGGCGGCGUGCUUAACACAUGCAAGUCGAACGGAAAGGCCCUGCUUUUGUGGGGUGCUCGAGUGGCGAACGGGUGAGUAACACGUGAGUAACCUGCCCUUGACUUUGGGAUAACUUCAGGAAACUGGGGCUAAUACCGGAUAGGAGCUCCUGCUGCAUGGUGGGGGUUGGAAAGUUUCGGCGGGUGGGGAUGGACUCGCGGCUUAUCAGCUUGUUGGUGGGGUAGUGGCUUACCAAGGCUUUGACGGGUAGCCGGCCUGAGAGGGGGACCGGCCACAUUGGGACUGAGAUACGGCCCAGACUCCUACGGGAGGCGGCAGUGGGGAAUAUUGCACAAUGGGCGGAAGCCUGAUGCAGCAACGCCGCGUGCGGGAUGACGGCCUUCGGGUUGUAAACCGCUUUCGCCUGUGACGAAGCGUGAGUGACGGUAAUGGGUAAAGAAGCACCGGCUAACUACGUG